GACGAACGCUGGCGGCGUGCUUAACACAUGCAAGUCGAACGGAAAGGCCCUGCUUUUGUGGGGUGCUCGAGUGGCGAACGGGUGAGUAACACGUGAGUAACCUGCCCUUGACUUUGGGAUAACUUCAGGAAACUGGGGCUAAUACCGGAUAGGAGCUCCUGCUGCAUGGUGGGGGUUGGAAAGUUUCGGCGGUUGGGGAUGGACUCGCGGCUUAUCAGCUUGUUGGUGGGGUAGUGGCUUACCAAGGCUUUGACGGGUAGCCGGCCUGAGAGGGUGACCGGCGACAUUGGGACUGAGAUACGGACCAGACGCCUACGGGAGGCAGCAGUGGGGAAUAUGGCACAAUGGGCGGAAGCCUGAUGCAGCAACGCCGCGUGCGGGAUGACGGCCUUCGGGGUGUAAACAGCUUUCGCCUGUGACGAAGCGUGAGUGACGGUAAUGGGUAAAGAAGCACCGGCUAACUACGUG
rnacentral:rRNA from 1 species